rnacentral:lncRNA from 1 species
GAACGAUACAAUAAGAAAUGAGAUCAAAAUAAACAUGAGAAUAUAACUUUUCAUUAUUAAUGAUUCAAAAUACGAACAACAAAUUUUUUUACCAUUAACACGACAUAUUUAGUUGCAUAGAUUAUGAUGAUGAUUGAUGGUUUGAACCACCUUCGGCCAUCUCAAAUUCGCAGAUAAAUUGGCUCUAUUUAAUUCCUAAAUGUUAGAGCACAUGUGACAAUCUUGGGCUUAGAGAAAUAAGCAUACUUUCAUCAAUUCUCAUGACACGUGUAUGAAAGCAAAAACAAGCUAUGUAUAGUCAAUAUAAAGAAUGGUUCAAUAAAGUCCUAUAAAGAAUGGUUCAAACCAUCAUAUGACCUAGGUAAUUUAGCCUUUGUCAUUG